UAGUCCACCUUGCCAACUGCCAUUCUAG
rnacentral:piRNA from 1 species